rnacentral:rRNA from 1 species
AUUGAACGCUGGCGGCAUGCUUUACACAUGCAAGUCGAACGGUAACAGGCCGCAAGGUGCUGACGAGUGGCGAACGGGUGAGUAAUGCAUCGGAACGUGCCCAGUCGUGGGGGAUAACUACUCGAAAGAGUAGCUAAUACCGCAUACGAUCUAUGGAUGAAAGCGGGGGACCGUAAGGCCUCGCGCGAUUGGAGCGGCCGAUGUCAGAUUAGGUAGUUGGUGGGGUAAAGGCUCACCAAGCCAACGAUCUGUAGCUGGUCUGAGAGGACGACCAGCCACACUGGGACUGAGACACGGCCCAGACUCCUACGGGAGGCAGCAGUGGGGAAUUUUGGACAAUGGGCGCAGGCCUGAUCCAGCAAUGCCGCGUGCAGGAAGAAGGCCUUCGGGUUGUAAACUGCUUUUGUGCGGAACGAAACGGCUCUGGUUAAUACCCGGGGCUAAUGACGGUACCGUAAGAAUAAGCACCGGCUAACUACGUG